rnacentral:rRNA from 1 species
CCCGACUGCUAUUUGGGUGAGGAUAAGCCAUGCGAGUCGAAUGGGAUACCUAAAUUUCCCAUGGCGAACUGCUCAAUAACACAUGAUCAACUUACCCUAUAGAGAAAAAUAACCUCGGGAAACUGAGGAUAAUGUUUCAUAGUUGAAAAGGCUUGGAAAAGUUUUUCGACCAAAGGGAUAAGAAAAAUGGUUUUUAUCCGCUAUAGGAUAGGAUCGUGGCCGAUUAUGGUCGUUGGUGAGGUAAUGGCUCACCAAGCCGAUAAUCGAUAGGGGCCGUGAGAGCGGGAGCCCCGAGAUGGGUACUGAGACAGCGACCCAGGCCUUACGAGGCGCAGCAGGCGCGGAACCUCCGCAAUACACGAAAGUGUGACGGGGUUACCCAAAGUGUUCAAUUUUGAACUGUGGUAGGUGAGUAAUGUUCCCUACUAGAAAGGAGAGGGCAAGGCUGGUGCCAGCCGCCGCGGUAAAACCAGCUCUUCAAGUGGUCGGGAUAAUUAUUGGGCUUAAAGUGUCCGUAGCCGGUUUAGUAAGUUCCUGGUAAAAUCGGGUAGCUUAACUAUCUGUAUGCUAGGAAUACUGCUAUACUAGAGGACGGGAGAGGUCUGAGGUACUACAGGGGUAGGGGUGAAAUCUUAUAAUCCUUGUAGGACCACCAGUGGCGAAGGCGUCAGACUGGAACGUGCCUGACGGUGAGGGACGAAAGCCAGGGGAGCGAACCGGAUUAGAUACCCGGGUAGUCCUGGCCGUAAACGAUGCAUACUAGGUGAUGGCAUGGCCAUGAGCCGUGUCAGUGCCGUAGGGAAACCGUUAAGUGUGCCGCCUGGGAAGUACGGUCGCAAGGCUAAAAC